UACGGAGGAUGCAAGCGUUAUCCGGAAUGAUUGGGCGUAAAGCGUCCGUAGGUGGCAAUGUAAGUCUGCUGUCAAAGCGUCUGGCUCAACCAGAUAAAGGCAGUGGAAACUACAUAGCUAGAGUAAGGUAGGGGUAGAGGGAAUUCCUGGUGUAGCGGUGAAAUGCGUAGAGAUCAGGAAGAACACCGGUGGCGAAGGCGGCUCUCUGGGACGGUACUGACGCUGAGACGCGAAAGCGUGGGGAGCGAACAGG
rnacentral:rRNA from 1 species